GUUUAAACAUUGACCUUCAAAGGAAAUGUAUUAUUUUUCACCAAGGGUCUGUGAAGCGCUGGUGAAGAUGACUCACUCAACAUGACUGGCAGUUAUUGGUAUCUGUCAGUUGGGAGUACAGUUGAUACUAUGAACUGCAGUAUCUACAUGUGGCCUUUUCAUGUGGCUCAGGAUUUUCAAAUCAUGGUGACUGGGUUCUUAGAAGGAGUAUACCAAGAGCAAGCAUUCCAAGAGACAAGAGUGGAAGAAGGUCUGGAUCUGUAAUUUGGCACAUCAUAAUUUCUGCAAUAUUCCAUAAGGCAAAGCAGCCACAGGAUCUGCCUAGAUUCAAGGGAAGAAGGAAGUUCCACCUUUUGAAGGGGGUCAUAAAAACUAUAGUCAUCUCCAUUUCCUUAAACCAAUAAGCAUUAAAUACUAAUAAUAGACAUCUUUUAUUAUUAUUGUUUAUUAUUUCCCUUAUUUCUCACUCAUCCUAAAAUCUUCACAUAACCCUAGGUCUUGAUUUUGUGCAUGAGGAAACUGAGGAUGAAAAUAGUUAUGUAAUUUGGUAAAAGUCACACAAUAAGAGUUCAAAGACAGAUAUGCCUUUGCCGUUUUAUUUCAUUAUCCUUUCACUCUUCCAUAAAAUUUACUAUGAUUCCCUUUACCUUCUCACAUCAAAGCUAAAUUCCUGUGUUUCUAACCCAUCCAUAAUCUGCCCUAUUCCUGCCUAUGCCAUCUUACACCUCUCAGCCUCCUCUGUACUCUCUUUUCCAUAAUGCCAUUGUUCCUCUUACCUGGGAUGCCUCCACCCUACCCCUCCAAUUUAAAUCCUACCAAUCAUUCUUGCUGUCCUUUUCUCUGAAUAUGUCCCUAACUAGAGCAAGGCAGAAUGACUUCCCCUCCUGUGGAGUUAAAGCAUAUUUCUUAUGUAGUGGCUCAUGGACUUCUUGUUUUCAUGCAUGUUAGUUUUAUCUUUCCAAGUGUAUUAUAAAUUUUUGUGGCUAUAAUCUAUGUCACCAAGUCUGAUAUUCCUUCUAAAUUCCUUAUACGUCCCACCCUCUAAGACUGGUUCACCAGAGAAUUGGCAAUAAACUACAUUAUGCUGCUGUAGUCAUGGUAGAGUCCACUGGAG
rnacentral:lncRNA from 1 species